UCGGUGCCGCAGCUAACGCAUUAAGUACUCCGCCUGGGAAGUACGCUCGCAAGAGUGAAAUUCAAAGGAAUUGACGGGGACCCGCAAAAGUAGCGGAGCAUGUGGUUUAAUUCGAAGCAACGCGAAGAACCUUACCUAAGCUUGACAUCCCAAUGACAUCUCCUUAAUCGGAGAGUUCCCUUCGGGGACAUUGGUGACAGGUGGUGCAUGGUUGUCGUCAGCUCGUGUCGUGAGAUGUUGGGUUAAGUCCCGCAACGAGCGCAACCCUUGUCUUUAGUUGCCAUCAUUAAGUUGGGCACUCUAGAGAGACUGCCAGGGAUAACCUGGAGGAAGGUGGGGAUGACGUCAAAUCAUCAUGCCCCUUAUGCUUAGGGCUACACACGUGCUACAAUGGGUAGUACAGAGGGUUGCCAAGCCGUAAGGUGGAGCUAAUCCCUUAAAGCUACUCUCAGUUCGGAUUGUAGGCUGAAACUCGCCUACAUGAAGCUGGAGUUACUAGUAAUCGCAGAUCAGAAUGCUGCGGUGAAUGCGUUCCCGGGUCUUGUACACACCGCCCGUCACACCACGGGAGUUGGAGACGCCCGAAGCCGAUUAUCUAACCUUUUGGAAGAAGUCGUCGAAGGUGGAAUCAAUAACUGGGGUGAAGUCGUAACAAGGUAGCCGUAUCGGAAGGUGCGGCUGGAUCACCUCCUUUCUAAGGA
rnacentral:rRNA from 1 species